rnacentral:snRNA from 1 species
AUACUUACCUGGCAGGGCAGAUACCAUGAUCACGAAAGUGGUUUUCCCAGGGCGAGGCUUAUCCAUUGCACUUUGUAAUAGUUCUACUCCAUAACUACAUAUCUUAGUCUUUCUUACAAUGUUCCCUGAAAAUCCUAUUGCUGCAUUAUCUCUGCUCAUUUGGUAUUUACCUUU